GUGAAUCAUCAAAUUUUUGAACGCAAAUUGCACUCUCCUCGGAGAGUAUGCCUGUUUGAGGGUCAGCCUAUAAAAAAUCCACAUCGUUGCUGUUUCGCGGUGGCGUUCGUCGGAAAUUGGGUCAUCCUAAAUCCUUUUGGUUUUUAAGCGACUUAAAAUUUUCUUUUUGGUUCCAUGAACGUUUCUAAGAUUUAUUUCUUUACACGUUUAAGGUAUCGAUUUUUUUUGACGUUACCAUCCUAACGGGUCCCGGCCCUUA
rnacentral:misc_RNA from 1 species